GAUGGCAGAAGAGGAGGACGUUGUGUUUUUGAUGGUGUUGGCGCGGCGAUGAUGGAGAGAGGUUUUCGGUGGAUAUGUGAUGUUCAGAGAGGUGAAUACGGUGGAUGUGGUCGGUUGAAGGAGUGGAGAUGUGAUUGAAAGUGUAACAGCGAUGAAGGAGAUGCGGAGUGGGUCGUUGGUCGGCGUGGAGAGGAAAAUGUAAAGGGUAGUGGUGGUUGUUG
rnacentral:lncRNA from 1 species